AAAAAAAAACCCUCACAACAAAAUCCUGCAAGCACCAAAGCAAUGGCACUUCUAAAGUAAGCUGGCACCCAGCUCCGGGGGAUCCGUAAUACGCACAGAUCUUGUCUUCUUAUGGAUUUAACAACUGUGCUUUAAUCUGCUUAAGUUCCGGUACUCCUAUCUUCUUCUCUUCCUUUUGAUAGAACUAAACAAGCUCCCAGAGACAGUGCUGUCCCUGAGAUUGCAAAUUAAGGAGUUAGAAAUCAAAAGAAGAUAAAGAAGGCUUGUGACAUCGGUAAUAUUAUAAAUGGCCAUUCUGGACUGCUUUAAAGUCAGAGUACCUUUUGAUGCCCCAGCCCCCAUAAUGGGUUUGAGCCUCACAUCUGCUAAACAAGUGCUGUACCCCUGUGCUGACUGGCGUUCUGUCAACUUGACAGAAGAAUCUGCCGCUCAGGAGAAGCCAACUCUGCCACCCUCUAGGGCAGCUGCCGGAGCAGACUAUUUUUAGUUCAAGCUAAAUUCACUCCAUUUGCCAGCCACAUUCAAUAUUGCAAUGUGGUCAAAUUCAAACUAGUCCUAGGGUCUCCAAGUGCUCACCACCUCCCUCUGAACUAUAUCAUGCGACUUACCCAAACUGAACUAGUCUCUCCAGGAAUGGUGCCAUUAGAUGAAUACAGCCAAGAAAUGAGCAAGGGAAAGCCGCCAGAGCCACGGGAUUGCUAAUGUUCUGGACUUUCGAUUAUAUGAGCCAAUAAACUUUCUCAAGCUUUGAGCACUCUGAAAUGAGUUUCCUUUUGAUUGCUCCUGGAGGCGCCCUCACUGGUACACAUGCUUUUUUGUUACUCUUUUAAAACCUGGACCUCCAAGAACACUGUGUAGAUUCGAUCAACGAUGGCUUCCUCGUUGUGUUGCCCUGCUGGGGAUGGAAGAUUUGUAGAUAAAGACUUGAUUGGGAAAGCUUUCAAUUCCGCCGAAGCUUCAUGUCUCCAGUGCAUAGAAAUUUCCUGAUGAUGUGAUAUGGGAAUACAGGUAAAACUGCAGCUUCCCAGGGCCACUAAAACGUGCACAAUAGAACCUUCUCCUCGUGAAAGGAAAGCUCAAUAGUGAAAUCUAAUGGGAAUAAAUACAGCUAACAGCAGGCCUCGGCAAAGAAGGGUGGAGGAUAGAGAGUUACUAUAAUUUAUAGACAAGAGGGGGGGGUAUAUGAAGAACACGUUUGUGUCUUUCCAUUUUACUAAGUUAGCCAUGAAAACUAAAAUAUACGCUCGCUUGAAGCCCAAAUGAGUGAUAUCUUCAUUUGCUUUGUAAACAGAACCACAGUCUUCAAAAUGAAGAAAAUCAUUUGAGGGAAAUGGAAUUUUGUGUGCUGUCUUACUUUUCUUUGGCUACUCUAGCAAAAGUUGGUAGUCUGGUCAUUUAUAAGCAAGAGAAAUGAAUUACUCACAGUCCUGGAAGUUGGCCAGGCUAACACACUUGGUGCCUAGAGAGGAGACAUUGGCUGCCUCGCAGAUGCACCCUGUGGCUUUGUUUCCCACGGUGGAAGAGGCAAACAAGAUCCCUUGGGCCUGCCUUCUUGUGGCACUAAUCUUACUCAUGAGGCUUCUACCCUACGACCCCACCAAAUAUUCUGUUUCUCAACACCAAGUGGGAUUAGGGAUUCCAUCUCAACAUAGGAGUUCUGGGAGAACAAGAAUCCUUAUCCUACAGCAAUGAUGCCCCACACUCGCUCACUAAGAGCUAAGAAAGCCAUGCUACCAAACUCUGUGCCAUCUGGAUUAGAUAGCUUUCUUUCCAUUUCAUAACUGGAUGAUUUUUAGAUAGACAUGUGUGGCUGACAGAAAAUGCUCUGCUGGUCUCUGGUCCCCUAAUCAGGAUGAUUUGGAAAAGGAGAAAUAGCAUGCAACCAGGGUUGAGGCAGAAGAGCAAAGAAACUCAAACUGUAGCUCCCGAUCUUCCAAGUAUUAUUUUAGAACAAGGUACAUAAUUUCUCUUCAAAUUUAUGUAGGAUACAAGAUUUUUAAAGGUAAAUGGAAUAUAAUAAAAAUUAUUUUUAAAAUAAAGUAUACCUCUAUUUUAGUUUGUUGAUAUCUGUCUCCAACAAUUGACUCUGUAUGGACAUAUUAUCUCUCUCUUUCCCUCUCUUUUUGUCUCUCUGUCUCUCUGUCUCUGUCUCUGUGUGUGUCUCUCUUUCUCUCUGUCUCUGUCUUUCUCUCUCUCUCUCUCUCUCUCACACACACACACACACACACACACACACACACACACAAAAAUCUCUGCUAAUCUCUUAGUAUCUGCUAAAGAUAAUUUGAAGUGUAGAAAGGAUUAACCAAGGGAUUUUGAGGAAUUUACUUUGGUCUAUGUAAACCUGGGAUUAGCAUCAUCUAGUCUCAAGGAUCCAAACACGAAAUACAGCUAUGCUUCAUGUGGGAAGACAAUCUGAACCUUCAAAAUGGGCUCUGAAUGGUAUUUCAGAGAACUAUGCUUACUCUCACAAAUCCAUAAUAGUCAGGAACUUCCAAAUUAUAUACAAAAUAUGAAUGUGGUCAAGUACAUGUGACUAUUUUCUAGAGUGGCUAAUGCCCAACAUAUUCUCUGGUAGACGCAUCAAACAUAUAACCUGGAGUACACAGUGAGAUGAGUGUCAACACAAUCUACAUUCUGCCAUGUUUGAGUUUUUAACAAGAGGCUUACAAUGCAGGGGUGUGGAGAAUUGACAGAUUUUGCACAUUUUAGUGCCUUUUUACAAUGUUUGCUAUGUUCAGCAAAAUAUCAGCUUUCAGAUUUAAAAUAUGUUUUCUAGCUUAUCCCACUGUGCAAAUCAGUACAUUAAGCAAGCCUAGCAGAAAACCAUAAGCAGGCAAACAGAAAAGCUGUGAGAGGCUUUCUUAUUAAAUGUGAUUGGGAAUAAGAUUUAAAUAUUGGUUUGCCCACCAGUCUGUGAGCCAAAAGCAGCCCAGAUAUAGAAAGAGGAAAAAAAAAUCACAAAACAAGGUCAACAGAGAUACAUUGGUGGUUGUCAAGGGUAGAAGAGAUUGUUUUAAAGAAUCCAAAUUAAAAUCUACUGCAUUAAGCAUCUACAUGAAACAUGCUGUUCUAAAGCUCACUGUUAGUGUGAGAUGAACCACUAUAGCAAAUAAACCCAUGGAGAGGUCCCACCACUUGCACAAUAAUAGCCUACGCAGGUGUUCCUGGCUGGUAGGUAGCUCUUCUGGCCAGGGAACCUGAAAUCUAUGCUGCUUUCAUUGGAGUUACUGUGGUCCUGGGAAUUGUCUGUGUGUUUUGUUGCCAUUUGGAUAUGAAAUAGCCCCCAAAGGCCCUUAUUGUAAAGGAUUGGUCUUCAAUGCGUGUGUUUUAAAGGUGGUUGGAUCAUGAGAACUCUACCUUCAUCAGUGGAUUGAUGCGCUGACAGAUUCAUAGCUCAUCAGACUACUGGGAGGCUACAGAAACUGGUGGGAUCAAAGCUUGUUAGAGGAGGCAGGUCCUUGGAAGCAUGCUCCCGAGUCUCCCUUGCUAUCCUAUCUCAGCCUCUGCAUUUCUCUCGCCCUCUGUCUCUUCCCUCCCCUCUUAUUCUUCCUAUCCUUCACUCUGAUCCUGUCUUCCUCUCUCUACUUACUGGUUGUCAUAAGAUGACCCAUGUUCACUCAGCAUGUUUCCACUAUGAAUUUCCUGCCUCAGCUCAGGCCUUAGAACAACAGAGCAACAUUAUAUACUGUAACUGUGGACUGAAAGAUAUUCCCUCCUCUCAGAUGUUUUUCUCAGGUUUUCUGUCACAGCCCUGGACAGCUGUGACACAUCGUUAUCAUAGGAACUACUGUCCUGCCCAGGACCAAGUGGUACAAGGGAGAAGACAGAGGAAGCUAGUCCACUUAUGUAAGUGGUUGGCUUGGGUGCAGAGGUUUUCCAGUAAACUUGGUGGCAGCUAGCCUGCUCGCCUAGUUGGUUCAGGCGUGAUACCACCAGCUCAGUCACAGCAUCCCUGUGGAGGAAGGGGAUUUACUGAGUGCCAGAAAAAAAAAAAUAAGAAGAGAGUCGGCGGACACCAAAGAGUGGAAGGGACAGGGUGUGCGUAAUAGUCAUCGCAUGAACAAAAGCUCCACGUUUAAAUAGCCAUUCUAGCAAAUUGAAUGGUUAGGAAAGUAUCCAACCGCAUCAAAAGAAAGUUGGACUAAAUAUGAUACAAAGUAAUGGGUGUUUUGCUGUAAUUGCAAUUAAUCAUUUGGCUCUCCCAUCAGGGGGACAUUAGUUUGAGAAGACAAGCAGCAAUAAAUUUCAGGACACUAAUCUCAUGACCUCCAGACGCUGUCACCUAAAUAUGAGCAAAUGUGAUUUAAAGAGGAAAAGGAGGCAUAAGGCACUCAGAUCCUGAACGCGUGCGUCUCCUCGAUGAACUGUGGUAUUCAGUGGUAACUUCUGUCUCCUCGAUGAACUGUGGUAUUCAGUGGUAACUUCUGUCAAUUACAUUUUCUCCUCUUUAAAGAGAUACUGAGCAUCUUGUCUUCCAAAUUUCCAGGAUCUUUAUAACAGUCAGAAUUAAUAUUUAAUAAAAUAUGGAAACAAUUUGACUAGGGCUAACUCUACUUUUA